GAUGAACGCUGGCGGCGUGCCUAAUACAUGCAAGUCGAGCGAACGGACGAGAAGCUUGCUUCUCUGAUGUUAGCGGCGGACGGGUGAGUAACACGUGGAUAACCUACCUAUAAGACUGGGAUAACUUCGGGAAACCGGAGCUAAUACCGGAUAAUAUUUUGAACCGCAUGGUUUAAAAGUGAAAGACGGUCUUGCUGUAACUUAUAGAUGGAUCCGCGCUGCAUUAGCUAGUUGGUAAGGUAACGGCUUACCAAGGAAAGGAUGCAUAGCCGACCUGAGAGAGUGAUCGGCCACACUAGAACUGAGACGCGGUCCAGACUCCUACGGGAGGCAGCAGUAGGGAAUCUUCCGCAGUGGUCGAGAGCCUGACGGAACAGCGCCACGUGAGUGAUGGAGGUCUUCGGAUCGUAAAACUCUGUUAUUAGUGAAAAACAUAUUUGUAAGUAGCUGUACACAUCGUGACGGUACCUAAUCAAAAAGCCACGGCUAACUACGUG
rnacentral:rRNA from 1 species